rnacentral:misc_RNA from 1 species
AAGUCGUAACAAGGUUUCCGUAGGUGAACCUGCGGAAGGAUCAUUAACACUUUUUCAAUAAGGUUUUUUUCUUUUGAAAAAACUAUUCUACCCACCUUUUGGAUGAACUUUUUUGAUGGAAGGAUAUAUCACAGCUUCGGUUGUAUAUAUCUUCUUUAUCAUUUUUUUCAUUAUUUCAACUUUUUAACCCCAAAAAACCAAUUUAUUUACAAAUUGCUAUAUCUUGAAAAGCCUAACAUGUGUGUGGGUUUGUUGUGUGAUCAAUUCGCUUUGAUCACCCGUACCAAACUUAUCACUCAAGAAAUCCUAAAAACUAAGAAAACAACUCUUAACAACGGAUAUCUUGGCUCUC